ensembl:lncRNA
GAGAGAGAGGGAGAGAGAGAGGAGACUGGUGAGGGAACUGUUUAUAGCUACUAUAAUGUAAUAAUGAGAACAGGAAAUAAAGGAAAUGUAACUACAAACGGAUAAAAGUAUAAAAUAUUAAACGUAUGGUGUGUAAUUCUGAAAUACUUUAAAAUCUUGUAAUCGUUUGUCACGUUGCUGCAGUGUAAGAGGAAUAAAACACUUCAGCUCGUUCUGUUAGAGGAAAAGAAUCAGCUUCCCGGGGGUAAAGGUGAGCUCGCUUGAUCGUAUCUCGCCACCCCGUCACUGAUUAUAUUCCUGUACAGCACAACAGUGUUUACGUUCUGUCUCACUAGCCACAUCGGAUUUGAUCAGAUUAGAUUAGAUUUAGUAGAUAGCAUUUUUACGGUAUUAUUCCACUAAACUCCGCUUGAGCCGGAACAAAAAAAGGGCCCGAUAACUCAAUUUAUUCCAGUGUGUACCGAAUACAAGCACGCACUGGGAUAAACAGGCCCCCCGAUGAGCACAGGCCACACACGCACAGGAAGACGUUACACAGGUAGACACAGGAGACGGUAAAGCGAACAGGAUAAACGGAGAGCUGGACAGCACACUCACCCUCCUCGUCCCCUUGGGUUAGUGAGCGCUCAGGGGACGUGGAGGAGCGACUUCGGAAAGACUGCACCGCUGAACGGGGCUGAAUUUCUCCCACACCUGACAACAUGCCCACAAUAAAAUUACACAGAGUUCACCGUUCCCCAGCUGACCCACUCAUACACACAUGCUUCAAACGCUACAUCAAUCAUGCAUUCACAUCAUGACCAAGACGCCGGCUUCCCACACCCUGGCUUUAGUGGAAGACUUUAAGUGAUAUCUUUCACGCCGACUGAAUGCGGUUUUGCAGGCACGACAUAAUCAAGCCCUGAUUUACUAAAAGGUUUGCGUGUGUAGAAUUAAUCACGGAGCACUGAUUUACCAACACGCUCCCUGACCCGGCCGCUCGGCCUUGACGAAUUCGCCCGGGUCUUCACGCCUGCCGAUUCCUCCCACGUCCACAACAUACUGACUCCCACGAUGCUUACUGUCUAACACAUCCCAGACCUCGCACUGGUUAUCCGUUUAUUCAUAAUAUGUACAUAUAAUGCAUUUAUAAGGAAUUCCACCCGUCGUUAUAACCAUUUCUAAAAACGCGGUACGGUAUAUAACCAACGUCUGCUUUAUAAACAGCGUAAAUCGUGCCAAAACCCCAAAAUAAGACACAUCUGCGACAUGCGCGUGACUCACUUUCUUCGCUAUUUACGUUAUGAACGUUACUCAUAAUAACUAACAAGCAAAAAUAUCCAAUAUCAUCAGGACUGCAUUUCAGAACGUUAAGGCUUACGGCUUCAUUUUUGGGGAUGUAUUAAAAUGAUGAUUUUUUUAUAAAGAAUUUUUGAAAUGACGCCCCGUUUCACAACGUAUUAUCCUUUUUCGAAAAGGAAAUACGCUCGUUAAAGCAUGCAGUAACGAUCCUAUGAUCCACGAUGGCUCGGUGCGCGGUGACACUAGGUGACCUUUCCGAUGCCGAGCUAGCGCUAAAGUGAAUUCUAAAAAAAAGAUUAAUGACGGCGGUGUUAUGCUUUAAGGUCACUUACCUCCACAGGCUUCAGAAACGGAAAAAAACGGGGAGACGGACAACAUGGAAAGGAAGAGAGAGAAAAAAAAACAACAAAUACUGUGUGUUACUGUCUUUAGGGACGGGAAGGAUAUUACAACCAAACCAAGUACACGGUGGAAGUGCUGCGUAAUGAAAUAAUCCCUCACCACAGUGCUGGCUCAUCUCAGAGCGGACGUAAGCUCGAAUCUCAUCCUCCUACACAGGACGUGACACAAGGACUAAUAAGAGAAAAUUGGGAUGAACAGGUAUUAUAUGUUGUAGUAAUUCCGAGGUGUAGCUAGCGGGUGGAUUUGGGGUUUGAAAUGUUUUAGGACACUUCCAAACGGUUAUAGAGUCCCAUCGUUAUCGUUCCCUACUGAGCCGCCGUUUGUUUGACGGCAUUGAGGGACAGGACUAACCAAUCAGCAUCGUGCGCUUUUUCCCAUUUCUGCCCUUAAAGCGACUAGCCAGCUAGCUACCGUCUGAGCUCGGAUAUAUAACGAUCGAAGAGGUUUACUGCAGCUGGAGAGAAAAAAAAAAAGAAAGAAGUUUAGAUCUGCUUUUAUACGAUAACGUGUCAUGUCGCCUCUCGUUAUUAGCGUGAUAUUUUAAGCAUUUUCGGUGGAACUGAAAAAAAACAACAACGAAACGACGACGACGACGUGAAGCUAAUUUACGGCGAGUUAUUAAUAAGACGAGGAGGUCGACUGAUAUGGCGAGGCUUUACGUUAAAUCACGUGAUUCGAUAAUAAAUUCCUGUCGUCGGCGCUCUUACGAUCACCCGGACUACUCGAGCGCGUCGCGCUCCUCAGUACGCAGAUCACGCGCUAGUAUUAUUUAGCAUAUUCCCUCGUCGCCUCGAGAAAGGAACUCCUGGCUGAGCCGCUUGUGAUGUGUGUACGCGUGUGUGAAAUUGUGUGCUCAGACCGUCAUGCCCAGCUCUCCCUUCUCUCCUUUCGCUCCUUCGAGCCCGAUUUCUCCCUGACGCACGGAGAGGGAAAUACGAGAAACAUCAUUAAAUGAACAGAAGAUGACUUCAUUAAAACAAUAUAGAAAGUACAGAGAGAGAGAGAGAGAGAGAGAGAGACAUCUGCACACUGACCUGUUCUCCUCUCUCUCCUGGGAUUCCUGGAAUACCACGAGGGCCAACCGAAGCAGGACCUGGAGGACCUCGUUCACCCUGAGAGACAGAGUGUACACGUCUGCAUUUACGACAGUGAUAACACGGACGUGCACGAGUACUGACGUACGCUCACGAGUAGGGGUGUUAAGGUUUGAAAUUUUAACAGUGUGACAAACAAAGCCAUCCUGUCACGUCUACGCCUUCGGAGAGAACGCCGCAGCCAUAACAGACAUGGCCGACACGGACUACGACCCCCAUCACUCGCCCCCAUGCUGCGUCCCAAUUCGUCUCCGAUCCGUCCCGAAUACCAUCUGAGCCAGCUUUCCUACAUCACACGACAGCUACUAAACGGGGACGGUAGAGGCUAACGUGUGCUUCCUCCGACAUACGCGUAACGACCCAGAGGAACGUGUUAUCCGCCAUCUUCUGCAGAGAUGAGGUCGGAGAUGCUCACGAUGGGCUAGUCUCACUGUGAUUGACAGGGGAGGAGAGUAUGAAAUCCCUCCCACCAUGAGAACACGGACGUUUUGGCUCCCUUGCCUCCCGGUCACGGAUAGUUGCGACAUCAUCGGAGAAACGUGUUUUUGAGAAUGACUUCUCAGUGAAAUGUAUUAUUUUGUCGGUACUCAUCACACGGACGUUAAGCUGAACGAGACGGGGGUUGGAAGGAAAGGGCUAAGCUCUCUCUCUACCCUCGAUACGGAUCAACAGUUCUGAUGACAUCAUUCUGCACUUCAGCUUCUCGUUAAGAUUUUUAGUCCAAUCGAACGCUCUCUAGGAUCUUGAAGUGUCCCGCCCCCGACGGAUGUAAGUGUCCUGGCUGUGAGGGAGAUUCAUUUGAGUGUCCAGAUGGUCAGAGUGUGAAGAGUCUCCCUGAGCUCUGAAAAUGUUAUUACAUCACAAAACACAAGAGCCUAUCGUCUUCCGGUAUGCAAAUUCAGCCCGAGGUAAGUAGACGGUGAGUGUGUGUACGGUUGAGAGCAUUUCUAAUUUGCAUAUUCAAAGAAUCUGGAUGAGCUGUGCUGGUACGUUUCAUCUUGUUAAUGACAAUUCAUGUUUUGGGACAGAUAGUGUGUCCCUGCAAUCCGGAAUCACCUGCAAUCCAGGUAAUCCUCUCUCUCCUGCUACUCCAGGCAGUGUUUCACCGGGAGGCCCC